rnacentral:rRNA from 1 species
CUGAGUACGGCGGAACACGUGAAAUUCCGUCGGAAUCCGGGAGGACCAUCUCCCAAGGCUAAAUACUCCCUAGUGACCGAUAGUGAACCAGUACCGUGAGGGAAAGGUGAAAAGCACCCCGGAAGGGGAGUGAAACAGUUCCUGAAACCGUGUGCCUACAAGUAGUUAGAGCCCGUUAAUGGGUGAUAGCGUGCCUUUUGUAGAAUGAACCGGCGAGUUACGAUUUGUUGCAAGGUUAAGCGGAAAAAGCGGAGCCGUAGCGAAAGCGAGUCUGAAUAGGGCGCAUAAGUAACAGGUCGUAGACCCGAAACCAGGUGAUCUACCCAUGUCCAGGAUGAAGGUAAGGUAAUACUUACUGGAGGUCCGAACCCACGCACGUUGAAAAGUGCGGGGAUGAGGUGUGGGUAGCGGAGAAAUUCCAAUCGAACUUGGAGAUAGCUGGUUCUCUCCGAAAUAGCUUUAGGGCUAGCCUCGAGGUAAAGAGUCAUGGAGGUAGAGCACUGUUUGGACUAGGGGCCCUUCUCGGGUUACCGAAUUCAGAUAAACUCCGAAUGCCAUGUACUUAUACUCGGGAGUCAGACUGCGAGUGAUAAGAUCCGUAGUCGAAAGGGAAACAGCCCAGACCACCAGUUAAGGUCCCCAAAUAUAUGUUAAGUGGAAAAGGAUGUGGGGUUGCUUAGACAACCAGGAUGUUGGCUUAGAAGCAGCCACCAUUGAAAGAGUGCGUAAUAGCUCACUGGUCGAGUGACCCCGCGCCGAAAAUGUACCGGGGCUAAACAUAUUACCGAAACUGUGGAUGAACCUCUUUAGAGGUUCGUGGUAGGAGAGCGUUCUAAGGGCGGUGAAGUCAGACCGGAAGGACUGGUGGAGCGCUUAGAAGUGAGAAUGCCGGUAUGAGUAGCGAAAGAAGGGUGAGAAUCCCUUCCACCGAAUAUCUAAGGUUUCCUGAGGAAGGCUCGUCCGCUCAGGGUUAGUCGGGACCUAAGCCGAGGCCGAUAGGCGUAGGCGAUGGACAACAGGUAGAGAUUCCUGUACCAGUGCUAAUUGUUUAACCGAUGGGGUGACACAGAAGGAUAGGGAAU